rnacentral:rRNA from 2 species
GUGGGUAGUUUGACUGGGGCGGUCUCCUCCUAAAGAGUAACGGAGGAGCACGAAGGUUGGCUAAUCCUGGUCGGACAUCAGGAGGUUAGUGCAAUGGCAUAAGCCAGCUUGACUGCGAGCGUGACGGCGCGAGCAGGUGCGAAAGCAGGUCAUAGUGAUCCGGUGGUUCUGAAUGGAAGGGCCAUCGCUCAACGGAUAAAAGGUACUCCGGGGAUAACAGGCUGAUACCGCCCAAGAGUUCAUAUCGACGGCGGUGUUUGGCACCUCGAUGUCGGCUCAUCACAUCCUGGGGCUGAAGUAGGUCCCAAGGGUAUGGCUGUUCGCCAUUUAAAGUGGUACGCGAGCUGGGUUUAGAACGUCGUGAGACAGUUCGGUCCCUAUCUGCCGUGGGCGCUGGAGAACUGAGGGGGGCUGCUCCUAGUACGAGAGGACCGGAGUGGACGCAUCACUGGUGUUCGGGUUGUCAUGCCAAUGGCACUGCCCGGUAGCUAAAUGCGGAAGAGAUAAGUGCUGAAAGCAUCUAAGCACGAAACUUGCCCCGAGAUGAGUUCUCCCUGAGACUUAGAGUCUCCUGAAGGAACGUUGAAGACGACGACGUUGAUAGGCCGGGUGUGUAAGCGCAGCGAUGCGUUGAGCUAACCGGUACUAAU